AUUGAACGCUGGCGGCAGGCCUAACACAUGCAAGUCGAACGGUAACAGGAAGCAGCUUGCUGCUUUGCUGACGAGUGGCGGACGGGUGAGUAAUGUCUGGGAAACUGCCUGAUGGAGGGGGAUAACUACUGGAAACGGUAGCUAAUACCGCAUAACGUCGCAAGACCAAAGAGGGGGACCUUCGGGCCGCUUGCCAUCGGAUGUGCCCAGAUGGGAUUAGCUAGUAGGUGGGGUAACGGCUCACCUAGGCGACGAUCCCUAGCUGGUCUGAGAGGAUGACCAGCCACACUGGAACUGAGACACGGUCCAGACUCCUACGGGAGGCAGCAGUGGGGAAUAUUGCACAAUGGGCGCAAGCCUGAUGCAGCCAUGCCGCGUGUAUGAAGAAGGCCUUCGGGUUGUAAAGUACUUUCAGCGGGGAGGAAGGGAGUAAAGUUAAUACCUUUGCUCAUUGACGUUACCCGCAGAAGAAGCACCGGCUAACUCCGUG
rnacentral:rRNA from 1 species